AUUGAACGCUGGCGGCAGGCCUAACACAUGCAAGUCGAACGGUAGCACAGAGAGCUUGCUCUCGGGUGACGAGUGGCGGACGGGUGAGUAACGUCUGGGAAACUGCCCGAUGGAGGGGGAUAACUACUGGAAACGGUAGCUAAUACCGCAUAACGUCGCAAGACCAAAGUGGGGGACCUUCGGGCCUCACACCAUCGGAUGUGCCCAGAUGGGAUUAGCUAGUAGGUGGGGUAAUGGCUCACCUAGGCGACGAUCCCUAGCUGGUCUGAGAGGAUGACCAGCCACACUGGACAUGAGACACGGUCCAGACUCCUACGGGAGGCAGCAGUGGGGAAUAUUGCACAAUGGGCGCAAGCCUGAUGCAGCCAUGCCGCGUGUAUGAAGAAGGCCUUCGGGUUGUAAAGUACUUUCAGCGGGGAGGAAGGCGGUGAAGUUAAUAACUUCACCGAUUGACGUUACCCGCAGAAGAAGCACCGGCUAACUCCGUGCCAGCCGCCGCGGUAA
rnacentral:rRNA from 1 species